UAGCUCAGUCAGUUAGAGCGUGGUGCUGAUAAUACCAAGGUCGCAGGUUCGAUCCCCGU
rfam:Apaloderma vittatum contig77466, whole genome shotgun sequence.